ensembl:lncRNA
GGCCCUGAAGUCACGCUGUAGCUGAGGCUGAUCCUGAAUUCCUGAUCUCCUGCCUCUACUUCCUGAAAGCUGAGACUUAACUGAGCUGGGAACCAAGCGGGGCCUUCAAGCCUGCCACACAAACACCGUUCAAUGGAGCUCCGCAGCAGCUCUUCCGGGGUUUGAGUCUGACGCUUCACUGUAACGUGCCUGUCCGACCUUGAGCUGUUAUAAUAGGUUCUUAACUGGCUUCUCUAUCUCCAGGUUCUCACAGCUGGCCUGGAGCUGGUGGCUUUUCUGCUAUUCCAGGUGUGAGCUGCCAUGCCUGGGCCACCUCUAUGUUUGUACUGCAUUUCUUCUGGAUUCCUUUUCUUCUCGGAGCAGAUUCCAGUUGACGUUCAGAAGUCCUGAGAGGUAUUGGAAGCCCCUAAGGAAGAAUGGAACACGAUUAACAGCGGCCAAUGACUCAGCCUUUCGAGUAAUUCCCACCAAUGACAAGUGCCUCUUAGAGCCAUGUUGUCUAGUGAAUGUGAGCUAGAUGACAUCACAGACAUAAUCAUCAACAUUUCCAAAGUCCAAGCAGUCAAAUGAAGUAGAGAAGGUGAUGGGUGAUGUGAAGGAGGAAUUCAAUACCAAGAACUCCUCAGGAAAACCAGGCUGACACAUUGGAAAUAAGGGAGCAUAGACGUGGAAAAUCUUAGCAGCGGAAAGAACAAAAGAGAGGACAGAGUCUAAGCUUGAAGACAAAGUCAAGAACCGGAACAGAACAGCAAGAUCAAGAGGAGAUGAUAAAAG